rnacentral:lncRNA from 1 species
CCAGUAAAUCUCACUCACUUCAAGCUUAGUUAAUCCAGUUUUGAGACACCAAAGAAAACAAGUUUAAGAACUUAGAAUGACCUAACAGCCCAUUUGGCAGCAGGGAGAUGAUUUGGGUGGAUUUGAAAUGAGGGAGGAUUUUGAGGGGGAUUUGAAAUGAGGGAGGAUUUAUAAUAGGGGGGGCCCACCUUUUAAGAUGGGUGGAUUUAUAGUUUAGUGUUUGGAUGUUUUUUGAAAAGGAGAUUUAAAUUGAUAUGAUGGGAUAAGAUGUACAAAACAAAUGACCCCCACUUCAUUAUUAGUUGUUAAUAUUAAAUAUGUUUUUGUGGUUAAUUAAUAAAAUAUAUAUUAAUUAAUUUAGAGAUUAAAAUAAAAAAAUUCACUCUAAAUAUUAAUAUAUCAUUAAAAAUAUAUAUCGAUUUUUUUGGGUUAAAUUAUUCCAAAUUAUUCUUUAAUAUAUAUUGUAAAAUAUUAUUACUUUCAAAAUUUGAGCCGAAAAGAUUAAAGCAUUAAAUUUUAAAUCUUAUUUUGAAAUUUUUAAUAUUAAUUAUGUAUGAAAUAUUAAAAAAAAUUGACCAACCCAAAAGGUACAAAAACACUAGUAAAGAGAAAAACAAGUAUUUUAACUUUAAGAAAAUAACCCAAAACAAAUUGAGUAAUUUACUUUUAACUUUUGAUCAAGAUUUUUUAAUUUUAACUUUUGGUCUUAAAUGGAUAAUUAAAAAAUAUAAAAAAAUAAUCAUAUAAAAGUAUUUGAAAAAAACUCCAAACUACCAAAAUAUGCAAACCCACCCCAAAGGUCCUUGUGGAGUUUAGAAAAUGUUUUCACUUUGAUUCUUAUAGUUUUAAUUUAAAUAAUUACGAUCUUAUUAAUUUUCAUUUGUUCCAAUCCACUUUAAUUUUAUUAAAUUAAUUUAAAUAUUAAUAUAUCAUUUAUAAAUAUUUAUUUUUUUGGUAAAUGAGGGUAUCUAUUUCAAGUUUCCAACUUCAGGGAGAUAAUUAUAAUAUUUAAACAUUAAGUUUCCUUUUUGUAUUAAUUCAUAACCUCAGGGGAGGUUAGUGUAAUUACCCAAAUAAAAUCUAAUUCUCAUGGUUCUUCUUCCCCAAUUUUGUUGUUAAGCCUGGAGAGAGAGACACGUUUGCUAAGGGUCUUCCACACCAAAAAUCGAUCUCCCCUGGUUUCUUCUUCCCCAGCAACGAGGGCACAACGUCUUUAACCAUAACUCUGAGCGCGCGUGCCCACGGACGGGGGUAACCCUGUCCUUCGUAUGUCCCGGGUGUGGAUGAAUUUGGAAAAUGGAAGAAGAAAUCGUAGUGAAAAAGUUGUGGGCCAACCAUGAGAAGACAAGAAGAGGGAGAACAAAUCCUGGAGCCUCUCAAAUCCGGGAACAAAUCCGGAUGCCAAACAGGGUGUAACAGUUUAUGGGUUGUUAACAGUUUAUGCAUUAAAAUUGAAAUAUCUAUUAAUUAAUUGCAAUUCUACGUACACAACUACAAUUACAAUUUUUAAUGAAUUCCACUAGAAGCUCCGAUACUUUUUGUGAGAGAGCGUGAUUAGAGUUGUCAGUCUUUGAUGGAUGGUAAUGUACAUAGCAUUUGGAAUUAUUUAAAUACAAGAAUAAACAUAUAUAUAUUUUUAACUUUGAGUGUGCAAAAAUAUAUGUGGCCUAGCAAUGGGGUCAGGGGUGCAAAACGUUAUGAUUUGAGGGUGCGAAUUCUUAUAAUUUUAAAAUUAUUUUUAAAUUAUUAGUAAAAUCUAAGAUUUUUUUUAGGAUGCAAUUCCCACCUAUGCCCCCCUGGAUCCAUUAUUUUUAUUGUAGUGGAGCAAAUAGAUUGCCAGCCCACUCAAGCUGCGCCGACAUAGAUUUUUUAGUUGUGUUUUGGUUAAAAUAAAAUUUUAUUUUUCCGAUACAUUUGCCUUUUUUGUUUAUUAUAUAGAUGAUUUUUUAGCCUGAUUUUCAGUAUCUAUUAGGUCUAGAUUUUAUAGUAAACUCAAUAGUUAUUAGUGUUUUUUUUUAUAAUUCAUGGUAAAAAACAAUACGAUUUUUUAGUCAUUUUAAACAAGAAAAUUUGAUUUUUUAUCUCACUUUUUUAGCUAAACGUGGAAAAAAUGAAUUUUUUUAGCUAUACCAAAUGAGUAGUUAGUGACAUCUUUUUGGGCCAAAGCAGUAGAAUUACUGAACGGGCCAGUUUGGGUCACGUUAUUGAAUUUUGUAGUCACAUUUAAUAUUGGGCCUGAUUUCAAGUAGGGCUAAUCUUGUGCAUUGUUCAUAGACUGGACUCUUAAACCAAAUUUAGACAAGCAUCAAUUGGGUUAGUAUUCAUUACAAAAGCAAUUCUAUAUUGCACCAUUCACCUUUGUUCAGAGACAGAAAGUUGGUACAAAAAAAUGAUUGGAUGCUUUUAUUCACUGAAAAUGACCGUUGUAAUAUACAAAUCAUAAUAAUGCUACUAAUCACAAAACCUUUGGAUUGCAUUGUUUGGACUGCACAAUAUAAUU